rnacentral:rRNA from 1 species
UACAGAGGGGGCAAGCGUUGUUCGGAAUUACUGGGCGUAAAGGGCUCGUAGGUGGCCAACUAAGUCAUACGUGAAAUCCCUCGGCUUAACCGGGGAACUGCGUCUGAUACUGGAUGGCUUGAGGUUGGGAGAGGGAUGCGGAAUUCCAGGUGUAGCGGUGAAAUGCGCAGAUAUCAGGAGGAACACCGGUGGCGAAGGCGGUUCUCUGGGCCUUACCUGACGCUGAGGAGCGAAAGUGUGGGGAGCGAACAGG